rnacentral:rRNA from 1 species
CAGUCGCCACGGUAAUACGAAGGGGGCUAGCGUUGCUCGGAAUGACUGGGCGUAAAGGGCGCGUAGGCGGAUCACGCAGUCAGAUGUGAAAUUCCUGGGCUUAACCUGGGGGCUGCAUUUGAGACGCGUGGUCUAGAGUGUGAAAGAGGGUCGUGGAAUUCCCAGUGUAGAGGUGAAAUUCGUAGAUAUUGGGAAGAACACCGGUGGCGAAGGCGGCGACCUGGUUCAUGACUGACGCUGAGGCGCGAAAGCGUGGGGAGCAAACAGGAUUAGAUACCCCCGUAGUCCCUGUCUCUUAUAC